UUCUGAGGGUACCACUUCCCCAAUCAGCUACACAGGACCACUGCUGUACUCCAACUGACUGAAGAAGCAGCAUCCUUUGAAGUAAAAGCCACGGCAACAGAAGCAACCAGGUGAGAAUCCUAGGCUUCAGAACCACAGACUUUCCCAUCGAGAACUUUGAUGAACUUCCAGGGAGCCUUGCUGGGACCUUGCUGCUACUGUGGCCAACACAUCAAGAGUCCCAACUCUUUCCAGGGCUUUUAAAGUGGUGGUAGCAAUUCCCGCAGGGAUGGCUGUCAAGUCCCUGGUGUCUCGCUCUGCACCUGCCUGGCUCCACCAAUCAGCUGCAGCUCUGCUGGCUGCAGGGUCCUCACAGUGCCGGUUCUACCAUAUGUCCUGACAUAGGAUAACAUUUUCAAAAGCACAUAAGAGAUCUAGGAACUCAAAGCUGGCUAAAAGCUUUGUGAGAUGGACACCUAAGUGCCACACUGAAAUGCAACUUACAGGAUAUAACUUGGUUUUGUGUGAUAACAGACAUGGUCUGUGCUUGUACUUUCUACCAAGAACUCUUCAGAAAGAUGCUAAUAUAGGCUGUGUGGAUGGAGGCUUGGCUGCUGCUUCUCUCCUAUCCAAACUGAAACAGGAAGACUAAGAAAAGUUUUAGCAAUUUCUUCUAGGGAGAGUGUCCACAUUUCCAAAAGAGAUCAACCUUCCUCAGUUUAGGGAAAUAUCAACAGAUACCAUUUGAUAACACUUUGCAUACAUGUUAGAUCUUCCCUGUACUGAUUUUUUUACACUAAUCUUUUGGUGGGGGUGAGAUCCCCAUAUGCUUAGAACACUGGAAUAUUUCACAGUGUUGCUCCACAUGAGCAUCAUAAGAAAUGAAGGAAGGCCUUAAGUAUUCCCAGAACAAUUAAAGACUUAAUGUAAAGGAAGGUUCCAAAAUAUUUGCGGUCACAGAUGCAUUUGAAACCCCAAAAGCCUGAGUGGACCAUUAAGUUUACUAGCUCCUAAUACAUCUUUACAUUUCUUUCCCCCAGAGAAUGUUUCUCUCACUGUUCUAUUAGAUGCUGACCAUGGAGCGGGUGCAAUUUUUGCUCCUUUGCUUUGUUUCAAAUUGAUGUGCUCUGUAAAGCUGAAUAAAUCAAAUGAUUAAAAAAUGAGUGGAUGAGAAAGGCACUUCAGUGCAGUCUCUUCCCAUACAUAAUCUAGGCAUGGAAUCUCAGAGAUGGGAGGGACAGGUGAAAAAGAAAGGAAAAAUGUGGUAGCAGAAACCUAUACUCUGCAGCAAAUAUUAAAUAAAGGGAUAAUUGGGGCGUGGUGUUGAGUGCACAUACAUGCAUUUCACACUUGAGCCCAAAUUAUUUAUCAACACUCUACUCCAUAAUACUAAGGGGAUGUAUAGCUGCUCUGUCCAAGGAGAGUUCCUCUCUGUAUAUACUUGGUCUGGAGAAUAAAAAUGUGUUGCUGACCUUUUGUGGUAGAUUACUAGUCCACUGUAUUGGCCAGCAAGUGGGAGUCACAGAAUUUGCUUUCUCCUGCAUGCCUGGACCCUAAACCUCAUUACCUGGAGUAGGAUUUUAGGUGGACUUUUAUUCCUAAGCAUGGGCAAAUAAAUGGGUGCUUGUAGUUGUUAAAAAAAAAAGUGGCGCUUUACUUGGAACUUGGCGUGCUCCUGUGCUGAGCCCAGUGCAUGCCCAGAAGAGGCAGUGUCUUAUUUGGACCGUUCUUGCCCAACAUCUGUAUAGAUCAGGCAAUUUACUGGGGCUUUUUGGUGCUUUUAUCUAAUAGCUGAUUGAAUUAGCUUUACCUAAAGGUGCCAAAAAGUCCCACUGAAGCACUCAUUCUAUACAGAUGCUGCAGAGUUGGGUUGAAGUAACACGCUACUUCUUCCAGUAAAGUGUAUUGUGACCUAACUUGUAUCAGGAGAGAUCUGGGACAGAAGUUCAAGAGACUGGUCUAACCUAAAGUGAUUCAAUCUGCUACUGCUUAAACUGAAUUCUGCCAUUUUGAAACCAGUCUAUAUGCAAUGAACUUCUGUCCUGUUACAGGUUUAGAAUGAUUUCCGACCAUUUAUACAGAUUUAUGUGCAAUUUCUCUCCUUAGCCAUAGUGACAUCACAACAUCACAAAUUAAAUCAGGGAGUAAGGAGUACUAAAAAUGUUUAUAUGAAAAUAUUCAGGAAAA